rnacentral:lncRNA from 1 species
UGGGGUCCCUGAUGUCAACUUCGGGGCCCUUGAGGUCGCCUUCCACUUUGGGCAGAGAAAUGUCCAUGUCGCCCUUCACCUUUGGACCUUUCAGAUUCAGGUCAACUUCAGGCAUAGAGAUCUUCGGUGCCUUGAGGUGUAAGUCAGGCAUUUUAAAUUUGGGGCCCUUCAGUUUCCCUUCUGGACCAUGAAUAUCAAUAUCAGGAGUGUCAAUGUCCACUUUGGGUCCUGAGACAUCAAUGUCAGCUUUGGGCAAAUUAACAUCCACUUCUGGGCCCUCUCCUUUAAAUCCUGGCAUGCUGAAUUUGGGCAUUUUCACCUUGGGCAUCUUCAGGUGCCAGUCUGGGCCUCGAACAUCCACAUCUGGGGCAUUAAUAUCCACUUUGGGGCCUUUAAUAUCCAAGUCAGGAACUUGCAUGUCACCUUCCACUUUUGGCAGAGACACAUCCAUAUCACCCUUCACUUUGGGUCCUUUCAGGUUAAGAUCAAUGUCAGGCAUGGAGAUCUUGGGGGCUUUGAUGUUCAUCUCAGGCAUUUUGAAUUUGGGACCUUUCAACUUUCCCUCUGGGCCUU